GACGAACGCUGGCGGCGUGCUUAACACAUGCAAGUCGAACGAUGAAACAGGAGCUUGCUCCUGUCGAUUAGUGGCGAACGGGUGAGUAACACGUGAGCAAUCUGCCCCUGACUCUGGGAUAACUACGGGAAACUGUAGCUAAUACCAGAUAUGAGCUGAACAGGCAUCUGUAUCAGCUGGAAAGAAUUUCGGUCAGGGAGGAGCUCGCGGCCUAUCAGCUUGUUGGUGAGGUAAUGGCUCACCAAGGCGACGACGGGUAGCCGGCCUGAGAGGGUGACCGGCCACACUGGGACUGAGACACGGCCCAGACUCCUACGGGAGGCAGCAGUGGGGAAUAUUGCACAAUGGGCGAAAGCCUGAUGCAGCAACGCCGCGUGAGGGAUGACGGCCUUCGGGUUGUAAACCUCUUUUAGUAAGAAAGAAGCGAAAGUGACGGUACUUACAGAAAAAGCGCCGGCUAACUACGUGCCAGCAGCCGCAGUAA
rnacentral:rRNA from 1 species